UACGUAGGUGGCGAGCGUUGUCCGGAUUUAUUGGGUUUAAAGGGUGCGUAGGCGGUCCUAUAAGUCAGUGGUGAAAUAUCGCAGCUCAACUGUGAGGGUGCCAUUGAUACUGUAGGACUUGAGUGAAUUUGAGGUAGGCGGAAUUGACGGUGUAGCGGUGAAAUGCUUAGAUAUCGUCAAGAACACCGAUAGUGAAGACAGCUUACCAAGCUUCAACUGACGCUGAGGCACGAAAGUGUGGGGAUCAAACGGG
rnacentral:rRNA from 1 species